rnacentral:rRNA from 1 species
CAGAGGGUGCAAGCGUUGUUCGGAAUUAUUGGGCGUAAAGCGCGUGUAGGCGGCUUUGCAAGUCGGGUGUGAAAGCCCUCAGCUCAACUGAGGAAGUGCGCCCGAAACUGCAUGGCUUGAGUACCGGAGAGGAUGGUGGAAUUCCCGAAGUAGAGGUGAAAUUCGUAGAUAUCGGGAGGAACACCGGUGGCGAAGGCGACCAUCUGGACGGAUACUGACGCUGAGACGCGAAAGCGUGGGUAGCAAACAGGAUUAGAUACCCUGGUAGUCCACGCCGUAAACGAUGAGAACUAGGUGUUGCGGGUGUUGACCCCUGCGGUGCCGAAGCUAACGCAUUAAGUUCUCCGCCUGGGAAGUACGGCCGCAAGGCUA